rnacentral:rRNA from 1 species
GACGAACGCUGGCGGCGUGCCUAAUACAUGCAAGUAGAACGCACAGUUUAUACCGUAGCUUGCUACACCAUAGACUGUGAGUUGCGAACGGGUGAGUAACGCGUAGGUAACCUGCCUGGUAGCGGGGGAUAACUAUUGGAAACGAUAGCUAAUACCGCAUAAUAUUAAUUAUUGCAUGAUAAUUGAUUGAAAGAUGCAACUGCAUCACUACCAGAUGGACCUGCGUUGUAUUAGCUAGUAGGUGAGGUAACGGCUCACCUAGGCGACGAUACAUAGCCGACCUGAGAGGGUGAUCGGCCACACUGGGACUGAGACACGGCCCAGACGCCUACGGGAGGCAGCAGUAGGGAAUCUUCGGCAAUGGACGAAAGUCUGACCGAGCAACGCCGCGUGAGUGAAGAAGGUUUUCGGAUCGUAAAGCUCUGUUGUAAGAGAAGAACGGGUGUGAGAGUGGAAAGUUCACACUGUGACGGUAUCUUACCAGAAAGGGACGGCUAACUACGUG